rnacentral:rRNA from 1 species
CUGGAUUUGGAAUGGGGGCACCCUGAUCCAGCCAUGCCGCGUGUGUGAUGAAGGCCUUCGGGUUGUAAAGCUCUUUUGUCCGGGAAGAAAUCCCUUGCCCUAAUACGGCGGGCGGAUGACGGUACCGUCCGAAUAACCACCGGCUUACUUCGCUCCGCCGGCAGCGAUGAUAG